GCCACGUUGAAACACCCUUUCCCGUACGAUCACCGCAGUUAAGCAACGUCGAGCCAGGUCAGUACUUAGAAGGGUGAUCGCUUGG